AUACGGAGGACGCGAGCGUUAUCCGGAUUCAUUGGGUUUAAAGGGUGCGCAGGCGGCCGUGCAAGUCAGCGGUGAAAGCCCGGGGCUCAACCCCGGAAGUGCCGUUGAUACUGCAUGGCUGGAAUGCGGUCGAGGCGGGCGGGACGGGGCGGGUAGCGGUGAAAUGCGUAGAUAUGCCACAGAACGCCGAUAGCGGGGGCAGCUCGCCAGGCCUGCAUGGACGCUCGGGCACGAAAGCGUGGGGAUCGAACAGGAUUAGAUACCCUGGUAGUCCACGCCGUAAACGAUGGGCGCUCGUCGUCGGCGGCAGACAGUCGGCGGCCAAGCGAAAGCGAUAAGCGCCCCACCUGGGGAGUACGGUCGCAAGGCUGAAACUCAAAUGAAUUGACGGGG
rnacentral:rRNA from 1 species